UACGAAGGGGGCUAGCGUUGCUCGGAAUCACUGGGCGUAAAGCGCACGUAGGCGGAUUGCUAAGUCAGGGGUGAAAUCCUGGAGCUCAACUCUGGAACUGCCUUUGAUACUGGGUGUCUUGAGUAUGGAAGAGGUGAGUGGAAUUCCGAGUGUAGAGGUGAAAUUCGUAGAUAUUCGGAGGAACACCAGUGGCGAAGGCGGCUCACUGGUCCAUUACUGACGCUGAGGUGCGAAAGCGUGGGGAGCAAACAGG
rnacentral:rRNA from 1 species